AUAUUGUAUUAAACAAUGAAGCCUGGGGCUGGGCAGCAGCAGGAGACUCCCCUGACCUCAACUGCAGAGAUUGACACAUUACCAGUAAAAGAAAUUUAUAAAAUUCACCUCCUAAAAAAAAUCCAGAAGACCGAUAAAGAAAUGCUAUACCUCGACCGCCAGAUUAAAAAGCAGAUUUGGAAAUCCAAAUACUGGAACAUAAAUUAAAGGUGGGUGCAUGGUCACAUGUCAAUUAUGUCAAUGUUAACUAUUGGAACAUUAACUUAACUAGCUUUUGUAUUUGUAGGAAAUAAAGAAGACCAACUGAAA